rnacentral:rRNA from 1 species
UACGGAGGAUCCUAGUGUUAUCCGGAUUUAUUGGGUUUAAAGGGAGCGUAGGCGGGAGGUCAAGUCAGCUGUGAAAUGUAUCUGCUUAACGGGUACACUGCAGUUGAAACUGGUUUUCUUGAGUGCGUAAGAGGCAGGCGGGAUUCGUUGUGUAGCGGUGAAAUGCUUAGAUAUGACGAGGAACUCCUAUUGCGAAGGCAGCUUGCUGGGUCGUUACUGACGCUGAUGCUCGAAGGUGCGGGGAUCAAACAGGAUUAGAUA